rnacentral:rRNA from 1 species
GCCUACGGGGCGCAGCAGUAGGGAAUCUUCCACAAUGGGCGAAAGCCUGAUGGAGCAACGCCGCGUGGGUGAAGAAGGUCUUCGGAUCGUAAAACCCGGUUGUUAGAGAAGAAAGUGCGUGAGAGUAACUGUUCACGUUUCGACGGUAUCUAACCAGAAAGCCACGGCUAACUACGUGCCAGCAGCCGCGGUAAUACGUAGGUGGCAAGCGUUAUCCGGAUUUAUUGGGCGUAAAGGGAACGCAGGCGGUCUUUUAAGUCUGAUGUGAAAGCCUUCGGCUUAGCCGGAGUAGUGCAUUGGAAAAU